AUGAUUACAAAGAGAUGGCCUACGAGCGCAAUCAGAAGAGAGUUCAGGGUGGGACUGGGAAGUCUUCCUCCACCAGACCAUGUGGAGAACUCCUUGAACAGAAGGAAGAACCAGCCAGAGACGCCACUUCUCUCUGAGAGCAGGUUUCUUCUGCGGAGGUACGCAUCGGGCCNNNNNNGGCCCAUGAGAUUGACACAGGAUCCUAUCCAGGUUUUGCUCAUCUUUGCAAAGGAAGAUAGUCAGAGUGAUGGAUUCUGGUGGGCCUGUGACAGAGCCGGUUACAGCUGCAAUAUUGCUCGGACUCCAGAGUCAGCCCUGGAAUGCUUUCUAGAUAAACAUCAUGAGAUUAUUGUAAUCGAUCACAGACAGACUCGAAACUUCGAUGCAGAAGCAGUGUGCAGGUCAAUCCGGGCCACGAACCCCUCGGAGCACGCAGUGAUCCUCGCCGUGGUCUCACAAACAUCCGGCAACUAUGAAGAGGCCUCUGUGCUCCCCCUUCUGCACGCGGGCUUCAACAGGAGAUUUAUGGAGAACAGCAGCAUAAUUGCUUGCUACAAUGAACUGAUUCAAAUAGAACAUGGGGAAGUUCUCUCACAGUUCAAAUUAAGAUACUUCUGUCCAGUCUUCUUGGAUGCUGACCAUAUUUACUUAACCAAGAAAAAAGAUCAUUAUGUCAACCCAGCCUUCGAAAGGAUGAUGGGCUACCACAAAGGUGAACUGCUGGGGAAAGAACUCGCCGAGCUGCCCAAAAGCGACAAAAACCGGGCGGACCUGCUCGACACCAUUAACACCUGCAUCAAGAAGGGCAAGGAGUGGCAGGGGGUCUACUACGCGAGACGGAAAUCCGGCGAUAGCAUCCAGCAGCACCACGUGAAGAUCACCCUCUGCUGUGUGAGGGGCCCCUGUGGGCAUCGGGUUUGUAUGUGGGAAAUGCAGGUGGAGUCUCAUUCAUUCAGAUACAAGAACAGGAGGAAAGAGUCCGUUGAUGUGAAAUCAAUAUCAUCUCGAGGCAGUGAUGCACCAAGUCUGCAGAACCGUCGCUACCCAUCCAUGGCGCGGAUCCACUCCAUGACCAUCGAGGCGCCCAUCACGAAGGUUAUAAAUAUAAUCAAUGCAGCCCAAGAAAACAGUCCUGUCACAGUGGCAGAAGCCUUGGACAGAGUUUUAGAAAUUUUACGAACUACGGAACUGUACUCCCCUCAGCUGGGUACCAAAGAUGAAGAUCCCCACACCAGUGAUCUCGUGGGCGGGCUGAUGACUGAUGGCUUGAGAAGGCUGUCAGGAAACGAGUACGUGUUCACUAAGAACGUGCACCAGAGUCAUAGUCACCUUGCGAUGCCAGUAACCAUCAAUGAUGUCCCCCCUUCCAUCGCCCAAUUACUUGAUAAUGAGGAAAGCUGGGACUGGGAGUUCAACAUCUUUGAACUGGAAGCUGUGACACACAAAAGGCCAUUGGUUUACCUGGGCUUGAAAGUUUUCUCCCGGUUUGGAGUAUGUGAAUUUCUACACUGUUCUGAAACUACUCUUCGGGCCUGGCUCCAGGUGAUUGAAGCCAACUACCACUCUUCCAAUGCUUACCACAACUCCACUCAUGCCGCUGACGUCCUGCACGCCACAGCCUUCUUCCUCGGCAAGGAGAGAGUGAAGGGAAGCCUCGAUCAGCUGGACGAGGUGGCCGCCCUGAUCGCUGCCACAGUCCACGAUGUGGACCACCCGGGAAGGACCAACUCUUUCCUGUGCAACGCGGGCAGUGAGCUUGCUGUGCUUCACCACACGGCCCUGGCCUUCCAGCUCACGGUCAAGGACAGCAAAUGCAACAUUUUCAAGAAUAUCGACAGGAACCAUUAUCGAACACUGCGCCAAGCUAUUAUUGACAUGGUUUUAGCAACAGAGAUGACAAAACACUUUGAACAUGUGAACAAAUUUGUGAACAGCAUCAACAAGCCAAUGGCAGCUGAGAUUGACGGCAGCGACUGCGAGUGCAGCCCUCCCGGGAAGAACUUCCCUGAGAACCAAACCCUGAUCAAACGCAUGAUGAUCAAGUGUGCGGACGUAGCCAACCCCUGCCGCCCCUUGGACCUGUGCAUUGAAUGGGCUGGCAGGAUCUCUGAGGAGUACUUUGCGCAGACGGAUGAAGAGAAGAGACAGGGGCUGCCCGUAGUGAUGCCAGUGUUUGACCGGAAUACCUGUAGCAUCCCCAAGUCCCAAAUCUCCUUUAUUGACUACUUCAUAACAGACAUGUUUGAUGCUUGGGAUGCCUUUGCACACCUGCCAACGCUGAUGCAACAUUUGGCCGAUAACUACAAACACUGGAAGACGUUAGACGACCUAAAGUGCAAAACUGAUUCACUGUAA
ensembl:lncRNA